GCUGAAAAAGGCAAGUUUACUAGUAAUACGGAGAUCACCACGUCCUGCUCUUUUCCCUCAGUGUUUUCUAGGGGUAUUUUUUCAGGACACGUUGUGACCAUUACCCCAAAUCGUGGCAACAGCCUUGAGGAUGGACUAAGCCCUCCUCCCCCAUUCUGCACCGAGCCGCCGGACUCACCCUCCUUAAAGGAGACUUUCUUCCGUCUCCUCUUCCCAUCAGGAGGGUCUGCCCCGUGGGCGCCACUCCCAGGAAGCUCUCCUGGAUGACAGCAGCUCUCUGGGCCCUUAAUCAGAAACCCACGCCACACAGCCUUGCCUUGUCCCCACAUUCAAUCCCAUUGCUUCCCUGAACGAUACACUCUUGGAAAACAAACGCCAAUAUUCUGUUUCUGCAGGAUCACUGAUAGAAACGGCAAACAAACAACGUACCGAACCAAACAAGCAGAAAAAGAGGUAUUCCUUAAGCAUUUGGUGUGACCCUUGAAACGAUACUUAAUCAGUCUUUGCCUGAUAGGCUCGGUAACUGAAACCUAAAUUCAGUAACUUGGAGACCAAAAUUAAAGACAGACAAAAGAGACAUGUCAGUUUUACAGUCUUGGUGGGGAUUUUUAUAGCUACGUCUAUCAUGAGCUAUGGCCUCAGAAGAGCAGGGCAUUUAGGGCUAGAGAUGAGCUACCAGUCAGGCUGAGAGACAAGUUUUGUCCCAUCACAUGAGGCUAUCAAACAGCUGUCAGUAAAUCAGAGACAGCUCUCGAUCUGUCAUUCACAGCAAAGACUGAAAAAUGUUCUCUCCGAUUUUCACAGGCCAGGAUCUAGUGAUUAAAACGAUGGCAUUUAACUCUUCGGAAAUCUUUUUUUCUAGUAGUGAGUAAUGUUCAAAGUGGCAUUAACUAAAAUCUCGUUUUCACAGGGUCGGAGCUGCCUCCUGCUCCGAGCAGAACAAUGCCUUCUACGAUUUUAAAAGUUUCACUUGAAAACAUUAGGGUGGCUUCAGAAAUGGACCACACGUGCGUUUAAGCUUGAAAGUGCAUCCGAAGGGGUUUAGCUGCGUGUUUCGGAACAGGAAGGGUGGGGGUGGGAGGGGGAGGCUAGGAGGGGAAGCCUGGGAGGGAAGAUGGGCCACAUCCUUUCAUCUGAUCAAGUUUGUCAGGGUGGGUGGGUUUUAUGCACCAGCAAGGACCUCUCGGCACAAUCAGCUGAGCUGGUGAGUCCCGCCGACGCCGCAGGCAGCUGGGUCAGCAGAUUGAGCUCUGCUGCUCUGUCUGCACUAAUCCCGUUUGGUGGCAAGGAUUUGCUUUCGCCCCGACUUCGGGAUGGGGAGAGUCCACGACUGUGGUCCCGAUCCUUAGAUGCGGGAAGUGUGUGACUCCUGGGCUGUGGGCAGAGGCACCUGAGUCUCCCCACAUCUUCAGGAAGGUGAACCAGUGAGGCACAGAGAAGUUGAGCACCUUGGGCAAUGUCACACAGCUCACGACGGAACCUGGUUCUUCUUCAGCAUCCCUGAUGUUAAGCUGAACAGCUCUGAGUAUGGAUCAGAUUGCUAGAAUGUUCAAGACUAGCCAAGACAUGGGAGCCGCCUAAGUGUCCACCGACCGAUGAAUGGAUAAAGAUGUGGUACCUCUACAAUGGGGCAUUACACAACCAUAAUGAGAAUGGAAUUUUGCCAUUUGCAAGACAAAUGCUGCAUGUUACCACUUAUAUGUGGAAUCUAAACGAUACAACCAACUAGUGACUAGACCAAAAUAGAAAUAGAACGUCAGACAUAGAGAACAAACUAGCGUUACCCAUGGAGGGGGAGGGGGGAGAGAGGUACAAACUAUUAGGUAUAAAAUAAAUAAGCAGCAAGGAUGCGUGGCACAGGAAUGCAGCCAAUAUUUUAUAAUAACUAUAGAUGGAGUAUGAUUAUCUUUACAAUUGUGAACCAAAAACGUAUAACAUUGUAACUCAACUCUACCUCUGUUUUCAAAAGAUUAACCUGAACACACACAUUCCCCUGGCUCCCUAGCCCUUCCUUUGCCGGGUCGCCUGCGGAAGGACAGAGUCCCCUCCCCCUGCCCAUCCCCCUCCCAGCAUCCAGCUCACAUCCUGGAGCUUCUGAGCCCCAAAGCACUUGUGGGUCACUAGCCCCCUUUAGGGAUCUAUUCAUGCUUUAAAAUUUCUCUCGACAUGUUAUUACACUGUUCCUAUUAUUCAGUUGACUUAAACAUGUAUUGGUGAGAAUGGAACUAAGCAAAAGCUCUUAAAAUCCAGAAGUUGCUUCACUUUGCAUUUCCAUUUCUCUCCCUCGCGUUCUUUCCUUUCACUGAUGUUUCCAAUGCUCGCCACAGCUCUCCCCAUCCCUAAGGGAUACACAGAGGAAAACCCCAGGAAGAGAGGAUGGAGGUUUAAAUAGGACACGCUCAAGCAGGACUCGUCAUCAGGGGAAAUUUUCUUUGAGGGACCCUAGGUACCUUGCUC